ACUAUUUUUUAUUUCUUGGCGUUGUCCUUAGUCAACUGACGGGACAUUAGUUCGACUCAUAAAUAAAACAACAAUUUUACUAUAUAGAUGUAUCAAUCUAUAUACUUUAACUACUUUUAGAUUUGAUGCAACAAGAAUGAGACCUAUUAUUUUCUUGCAUGAUUCAGAAAUCUAUCUCUUAAACUGCUAAACACACUAUAACUUGAUGCCACCAAUAAACCGCCGUUGUUCUUGGUCGGCUCGGAUUACCCACACAGCUGAGCUGAAAACUGAAAACCGAGAGCUCUGCGCGAGUGACUGAACAAUGGGAAAGUGUGCCUUAAUAAAUGAAAUUAUGCAUAAAAGCCUAAAUAAGUCAAAGGCCAUGAAAAAUUAGAAUAUAAGAGAAGAUAAAAGAGGCGCAGAGUUAUGUUAGUUUUCAAAAACUGCAAAUCCAAAUAAAU
rnacentral:lncRNA from 1 species